UCUGGCGGCAGUAGCGCGGUGGUCCCACCUGACCCCAUGCCGAACUCAGAAGUGAAACGCCGUAGCGCCGAUGGUAGUGUGGGGUUUCCCCAUGUGAGAGUAGGGAACUGCCAGAC
rnacentral:rRNA from 2 species